rnacentral:rRNA from 1 species
UUCCGGUUGAUCCUGCCGGAGGCCAUUGCUAUUGGGAUUCGAUUUAGCCAUGCUAGUCGCACGAGUUCAGACUCGUGGCGAAUAGCUCAGUAACACGUGGCCAAACUACCCUUCGGAACACAAUACCCUCGGGAAACUGAGGCUAAUAGUGUAUACCGCAUCACACCUGGAAUGAGUGAUGCGCCAAACGCUCCGGCGCCGAAGGAUGUGGCUGCGGCCGAUUAGGUAGACGGUGGGGUAACGGCCCACCGUGCCAAUAAUCGGUACGGGUCAUGAGAGUGAGAACCCGGAGACGGAAUCUGAGACAAGAUUCCGGGCCCUACGGGGCGCAGCAGGCGCGAAACCUUUACACUGCACGACAGUGCGAUAAGGGAAUCCCAAGUGCGUAGGCAUAGAGCCUAUGCUUUUGUCCACCGUAGGGAGGUGGACGAAUAAGGGCUGGGCAAGACCGGUGCCAGCCGCCGCGGUAAUACCGGCAGCCCGAGUGAUGGCCGAUCUUAUUGGGCCUAAAGCGUCCGUAGCUGGCCGCACAAGUCUAUCGGAAAAUCCACCCGCUCAACGGGUGGGCGUCCGGUAGAAACUGUGUGGCUUGGGACCGGAAGGCGCGACGGGUACGUCCGGGGUAGGAGUGAAAUCCUGUAAUCCUGGACGGACCGCCGAUGGCGAAAGCACGUCGCGAAGACGGAUCCGACAGUGAGGGACGAAAGCUAGGGUCUCGAACCGGAUUAGAUACCCGGGUAGUCCUAGCCGUAAACAAUGCCUGUUAGGUGUGGCUCCCACUACGAGUGGGUGCUGUGCCGUAGGGAAGCCGCUAAACAGGCCGCCUGGGAAGUACGUCCGCAAGGAUGAAACUUAAAGGAAUUGGCGGGGGAGCACUACAACCGGAGGAGCCUGCGGUUUAAUUGGAUUCAACGCCGG